AACGAACGCUGGCGGCAUGCCUAACACAUGCAAGUCGAACGAGACCUUCGGGUCUAGUGGCGCACGGGUGCGUAACGCGUGGGAAUCUGCCCUUGGGUUCGGAAUAACAGUUAGAAAUGACUGCUAAUACCGGAUAAUGUCUUCGGACCAAAGAUUUAUCGCCCAGGGAUGAGCCCGCGUAGGAUUAGCUAGUUGGUGAGGUAAAGGCUCACCAAGGCGACGAUCCUUAGCUGGUCUGAGAGGAUGAUCAGCCACACUGGGACUGAGACACGGCCCAGACUCCUACGGGAGGCAGCAGUGGGGAAUAUUGGACAAUGGGCGAAAGCCUGAUCUAGCAAUGCCGCGUGAGUGAUGAAGGCCUAGGUUGUAAGACUCUUUUACCCGGGUACGUGAUAAUAGACAGUACCGGGAGGAAUAAGA
rnacentral:rRNA from 1 species